ensembl:lncRNA novel transcript
GGGAAUGCCAGUCCAUGAAGUUGAUGGUUAGGCUAAGAUCUACUGCAGAUGAAGAGCAUGAACAAAGUGGCAGAGACAGGAAAGAGCUUGGGACUUGAAGGGGUGGAGAAAUUCAUAGAAAACUAGCAUGAAGAAUGCUAUUUAAUGUUACUAAUACUGAGUGAGGCAAAGAAUGGAGUAAGUUGGAAAGAAAAAAUAAGCCAAAUCAUGCAGGGCUUUGAGCCAUAGAGAAGGCUGGCCAACUCAUCCAAAGGAUUUGACCUUACAUAAUUAAAGGAGCUAAUAGAGUAGUCUCUGUAAGACUAUUGUCUUUGUUUCUAAUGUUGGACCUGAAAUCCACAGGGAAGGGAAGGGAAGGGUAGAAGCUGUGUCAGUUCUUGUCAUUGACCUUGGUACUGUGGAUGUCUUGCAGAAAGAAGCCAGUGCCCUUCUUGAAGCUAUAUGUGGCCAAGAAGUCAGAGAGGCUGAAGGAUAAUCCAGGGGAAGAUAGAGUAGUUAUAGGCCCACCUGCUGCCUCACAGUAACAACGUUAAUCUGCACAUCUGUGACAUCACAGUUGAGCUACAAAAUUACUACUGCUUUACCUCUGUUGAACAAAUUUCACCCAAGACUCCCUCCUGUGGUCCACACUAACCAGAAGUUUACAAGGAAGGCAGUCCUAGGAAAUGAGCAGCCUAACCAAGUUGACACAUUACAAAGUCAUCAUGCUCUCUAAGACCCUUCAACCUGGAUUUCCUGCCAGCAACUCAAUAUAUCCCAAACAGAAUUCUUCAAAACCUGCUUCUCCUUCUGGGUCACCCUAUUUUGUUUUUUAACAGUGCCACUUUCCUUCUAUGCUUAAAAUUUUCUAAUCUUGUUAACUCCCCCUUUUCCUUUCUCAUAUACCUCUCAUGCUACCACCAAUCUAUAACAGUUCUAUCAUUUUUACCUCUGCAGUGCCCACCCCAGGUGGAUGAGUUCAAACUCAACAGGUGAUUAUACAAUCCCACACAUUGAUUUCAUAUUUAGUUUGAUAUAAGCCCCCCUUCUGGAACCCCAAAAGAAGGAAAAGGCCAUUUUCCUCUCCAAAAGCACAUACAGGGGAGUGAGUUAUAACGAGGAGCUAGUAUGCUGCUAUCAUUAUUUAAACCAAGAAAACCCACUGUAGACAAGAUGAAGGAUCUAAUAAAAAUGUGUUCUUAUUCCUGAUUCUAAAACUUUAACAGCUGGGCUUUCCCAUGUGGAAUAAUGUUACAUAAAUAACUCAGCCAGGAAACAGAGGGGCUGUGAAGAAGUCCAACAAAAUGAUAGAUGAUCUUGGACAGUCUUAGUAUCACACCCAAUGGAGUUAGAAGGAAAUAAGUGCAUUGAAGGUACGGGUGAGCUAUGUUGUUAUGUGUGAGCAGCAAACUUUACAGAACCUGACAGUUAUCUGAGUCAUGUAUCACUAAUUCUACAGAAGUUUUCUUUCUACUUAAGUAUAUUAACACUCCCUAAUCUAUUCCAUAGGGACCUUUUCUGCUCCAUCCAAAUUUGUCAUCUUUUAAUUAGUCAUGGAAGUCUAGAUAAAGCGGGUUUCAGAAAAUAAACAUGUUGAGUUUUAAAACUAA